UACGGAGGGUGCGAGCGUUGUCCGGAAUCACUGGGCGUAAAGGGCGCGUAGGUGGCUACUCAAGCGCGCGGUGAAAGCCCGGGGCUCAACCCCGGGUCGGCCGUGCGGGCUGGGAGGCUCGAGCACUGUAGGGGCGGGUGGAAUUCCGGGUGUAGCGGUGGAAUGCGUAGAGAUCCGGAAGAACACCGGUGGCGAAGGCGGCCCGCUGGGCAGGAAGGGGUGGGUAACCACCCCGGCUGACACUGAGGCGCGACAGCGUGGGGAGCAAACAGG
rnacentral:rRNA from 1 species